CAUGCAGUCGAACGGAGAUUCAGAUGAAGCUUGCGAUUCUGAAUCUUAGUGGCGGACGGGUGAGUAACGCGUGGGUAAUCUGCCCUUGAGCGGGGGAUAACAGUCGGAAACGAUUGCUAGUACCGCAUACACUACCAGGAACACAUGUUUGUGGUAGCAAAGGUGGCCUCUUAACAAUGCUACCGCUUAAGGAUGAGCCCGCGUCUGAUUAGCUAGUAGGUGGGGUAACGGCCUACCUAGGCAACGAUCAGUAGCCGGCCUGAGAGGGUGUACGGCCACACUGGAACUGAGACACGGUCCAGACUCCUACGGGAGGCAGCAGUGGGGAAUAUUGCGCAAUGGGGGAAACCCUGACGCAGCGACGCCGCGUGAGCGAUGAAGGCUUUCGGGUCGUAAAGCUCUGUUCUAAGGGACGAAGUCCUUACUUGUAAAUAAUGAGUAGGGGUGACGGUACCUUAGGAGAAAGCCCCGGCUAACUACGUGCCAGCAGCCGCGGUAAAACGUAGGGGGCGAGCGUUGUCCGGAAUUACUGGGCGUAAAGAGCGUGUAGGCGGGUGCUUAAGUCAGGUGUGAAAGACCGGGGCUCAACUCCGGGGUUGCACUUGAAACUGGGUAUCUUGAGGGCAGGAGAGGAAAGCGGAAUUCCUGGUGUAGCGGUGAAAUGCGUAGAUAUCAGGAGGAACACCGGUGGCGAAGGCGGCUUUCUGGACUGACCCUAACGCUGAGACGCGAAAGCGUGGGGAGCAAACAGGAUUAGAUACCCUGGUAGUCCACGCUGUA
rnacentral:rRNA from 1 species